rnacentral:rRNA from 1 species
UACGAAGGGGGCUAGCGUUGCUCGGAUUUACUGGGCGUAAAGGGCGCGUAGGCGGACAGUUAAGUUGGGGGGUGAAAGCCCGGGGCUCAACCUCGGAAUUGCCUUCAAUACUGGCUGUCUUGAGUGUGAGAGAGGUGUGUGGAACUCCGAGUGUAGAGGUGAAAUUCGUAGAUAUUCGGAAGAACACCAGUGGCGAAGGCGACUUACUGGACACAUAUUGACGCUGAGGUGCGAAAGCGUGGGGAGCAAACAGG